GCAAGUCGAACGGUAAGGUCCCGCUUGCGGGAUACACGAGUGGCGCACGGGUGAGUAACGCGUAUGCAACCUACCUUUAACUGGAGAAUAGCCCCGAGAAAUCGGGAUUAAUACUUCAUAAUAAUAAGAAAUGACAUCAUUUUUUAUUUAAAGCUCCGGCGGUUAAAGAUGGGCAUGCGUGACAUUAGAUAGUUGGUGAGGUAACGGCUCACCAAGUCAGCGAUGUCUAGGGGUUCUGAGAGGAUUUUC
rnacentral:rRNA from 1 species